rnacentral:rRNA from 1 species
AACGCGAAGAACCUUACCUGGGUUUGACAUGCGCAGGACGCACUCAGAGAUGGGUGUUCCCUUGUGGCCUGUGUGCAGGUGGUGCAUGGCUGUCGUCAGCUCGUGUCGUGAGAUGUUGGGUUAAGUCCCGCAACGAGCGCAACCCUUGUCUCAUGUUGCCAGCACGUGAUGGUGGGGACUCGUGAGAGACUGCCGGGGUCAACUCGGAGGAAGGUGGGGAUGACGUCAAGUCAUCAUGCCCCUUAUGUCCAGGGCUUCACACAUGCUACAAUGGCCGGUACAAAGGGCUGCGAUGCCGUGAGGCUUAGCGAAUCCUUUAAAGCCGGUCUCAGUUCGGAUCGGGGUCUGCAACUCGACCCCGUGAAGUCGGAGUCGCUAGUAAUCGCAGAUCAGCAACGCUGCGGUGAAUACGUUCCCGGGCCUUGUACACACCGUAGAGAC